UGAUUCCUUGUAUUCUGUUAUGCUUUACCUUAUAGAAAAAUGACAGAUCAGGCUGCAUCUUCGCAGAAUAGAGCGUCUCUGGCGAGAUGUGUUUACAGCAGUCACAUGCCGCUUCUACAGUGCGCUGCACCAGCUGGAGGGGGAUGGUCUACUUGACCUGUCCAGUAGUGUUCAUCUCUUCUGCUGCCAUCAUGUUUUUAUUCCCCGCCUGCAAGCCCAGCUUUAUUUAUUCAGAGAUGGCUGGGACAAUCAACCACUUUCAACUGAGAGAAAUAUCACUCCUAAUCAACUGUGGCACAUGGGUCUACAGCACAACUCAGAAGAAAACAAUGUUGAGGAUUUGCAGAUCCCUUUGAUUGAUUGGGAAAGUAGCGGUCUUAUACCCUGUGAUCCAAACUGUGGUGUCCAUGUCCCUGAGACUGACUGCCCUUUGAGACCUGAUGACCUAGCUGGACUUAGUGCUGCUGUGGACCUAAUGGGACACUCAACAUGCAUGGGAAUAGAUAGAUAUUUAGCUGCAGUGGACUAUAUGCACAGCAUUGGCUAUGUGUAGAGUUAUCAGUAUGAACUCUAAUUAUCCAUGCAAUCACAAACACAACUUCAUGUUUGUUUUUAAUCAUGUUUAUUGUAAAUACAUUAGUUCAAAUGUCAAGUACAACUCUAAACCAUUUCAAUAAAAGCCAACAUUUCAACAUCAGGGAACAAUGAAUAACUGAUGAAUGCUUAGAUAUUCAACAAUGUUUAGAAUCUUAAUUAUUAAGUUACAAUUCAAUAGAAAACAAAAUUUAAUGAAAUAACUUGUGAAUUCAGAGCUUUCCACUUUCUACAACAAUCCAAAUCCACUGUCAUUUGUGGCAAUGCAGUUGUCUAAAUGAACACUAAAUUCUCUGAAACUGUUGUAGUAACCAGGUAAGCGAAGGGUGUGGAAGCAUGUGGAUGAAGUGGGAUAUUCCGCUCGAACCACCACCACUUUCAUGCUAGCCAUGGGUAUCUCCCAUCCAACCCAAAAUUUAACAAGCUGUUUCAGCUGCUCUUGGGACACUGAAAGUAUAAAGAGCCAAAUCACAAAACAAGGAUUCUCAAAGGAAUGAAAACUGAGAUAACUAAAGUAAUUAGUAAUCCUACCCAACACUGAGAGUAAUAAUUACUAGGCAAAUUACCUACUAUAGAUUGCCUGCUGUAAAUUACCUUUAGUUUACUAUAGUAGGCUAUCCCAAUAAAAAUUACUAUU